rnacentral:rRNA from 1 species
UACGUAGGGUGCAAGCGUUGUCCGGAAUUAUUGGGCGUAAAGAGCUCGUAGGCGGUUUGUCGCGUCUGCUGUGAAAACCCGAGGCUCAACCUCGGGCCUGCAGUGGGUACGGGCAGACUAGAGUGCGGUAGGGGAGAUUGGAAUUCCUGGUGUAGCGGUGGAAUGCGCAGAUAUCAGGAGGAACACCGAUGGCGAAGGCAGAUCUCUGGGCCGUAACUGACGCUGAUGCGCGAAAGCCAGGGGAGCGAACGGG